rnacentral:misc_RNA from 1 species
AACAUCGCGCACCUGCGGGAACCUGCGGAGGGAUCAUUACCGAGUUUACAACUCCCAAACCCCUGUGAACAUACCUAUACGUUGCCUCGGCGGAUCAGCCCGCGCCCCGUAAAACGGGACGGCCCGCCCGAGGACCCCUAAACUCUGUUUUUAGUGGAACUUCUGAGUAAAACAAACAAAUAAAUCAAAACUUUUAACAACGGAUCU